rnacentral:rRNA from 1 species
GUCAGGGGCAAUAGCACGUUGAAUACAACUUCCCGAUUGAUCACUGAAGUUAAGCAAACUGAAGUUAAGUUGCGCUUGGUUAGUAUCCGGAAGGGUGACCUAGUGGACAAUUGCGUGCUGCUGGCU